rnacentral:siRNA from 1 species
GGCAAUUUGGAGUGAAUAUGUCU